GGUGAGGGUAUGGGUUGAGGGUUAAGGGGAAGUCUCUGGAGAGAACCUAGGCAGAGAAUUUGUGAGUGAAGAAAACACUAGUUAAUGGUAAAUUAUUGGUUAAAUGGUUGCAUAUAAGCAGUGAAAGUUGCUUGGAAAUUUUUCAAAAAAUGCUUAGAACUUUUAUGUUCAAGGAAAAAAGCAAAAUUGUUUUGCUUUGCUCUAAAGUGGGAAAGACUUCCUGAAAAGGUAUAACUGAAGACAAGAAUAUUUAGUUACUUGAAAAAUGACAUGGAACUUGAAGGCAAGCUCCCAAGUUUUAUCUGAAGCUGGGAAGGUGUGUGAUUUUCAGGAGAAACAAAUCUUAGAAAAGACUUCUAAAUGCCAGAAUUAUGGGUUUUUAAACAUUUUAGGUGUGCACUUAUGAUGAGAUUAAGAUGGACUCUUCUGGGUUUGUAAUACAUAUUUUGUCAUGGAGAGCUUGUGAUUCAAAAGUCUGAGCAAUACAGAAAUGUGAUGAUUUCUAAAGGAAUUUCAUAAGAAUUGCCUUAUAGAUUUUCUGUGAUUGGUCAAAAACCAUAACAGCAAAAGUUUUGCUUACUUAAUUAUAGUCUUUUGAAAUCAUAGUCAUUAUAUCAAGGAAAACCUUUUGUGGUCACAGUGAAAUUACUAUGAUAUUUGGUAACAAACAGAAACAUUAGUGAAUAAUCCAUUGUAUUUUUAGUUGGAAUGAUCCAGGACUAGAGGGGGGAAUGUCAAUCAAAGCCAGUUUAGGAAAUAAAAGCAAACUGGGCAGAAGGGGACAGGUUAACAGGCAGGUCUGUAAGAACUCAGUGUGAAAACUCAAUUUGCUUCUGAGCUGAUUUUGUUGAAUUGAUAGGAUAAUACCCAUUGUAGUUACUCUAUUUCGUUCUCUAAAUUUUACCUUGAAAAUUUUAAAUACUAAAUACCUUUUAUACUUAGGACUUUCCUGUGUUCUGGGUUCCUUUUUUUUCUUAAUGCUUAAAAAUACAUUGGUGUGGUAAUUCAAUUCUUAGCUGGUGACUUGAGCAUGAUACAAUUACUAUCAUUGGAACUUAGAGUAUAUUAGUCAUGCUAGUGUGGGGAAAUAUUUCUGGGUAUGCUGUUGUAUAAUAAAAGCUAUAAAAGAAGGUGGUUAAAGUAAAAAAAAAUUAUACCCAUCAUAACUUCUCCAACUGUCAUUGUUUUAUGAUAAAAUAGUUACAAAUCAAUGUUAACUUAGAUAAAAGUAAAAUAAUUUUUAAAAUUCUACCACAAUGAAGAAAAAUGGAUUAAUUUUCCUAAAUACAAAUAAAGCCAGUUUAAGCUCUAAUACCAAAAACUGAAUACCUUUUUCUUGUCAUUAUUACUUUUGUUUAGUUUAUUUAUAGAAUGAUUUUGGGGUUGUAACUAAAUUAUCCAGUUAAGGCUACCAUAAUGAUUAAACAAACAAACAAAAACUCCUAAACUAGAUAGAUUAUAUGUUUAAUUGUUUUCCCACAUUCUAAAUAUUUUAAAUACAAUUAUCUUUUGGCUUAAUUUCAUCUAAAAUUAUUAAGGGCAGCAACUAUCAAAAUUAGAGAAUAUACACAUUGCAGUUAACCUACAUGGCUUACAUUCCAUUUAUGUAAAUAGCUUCAUAUACAAGCAUACAUACUAUUUUCUAUGUGUAGUCUUAAAUGAAAAAUAUUUAGGGCAAAAGUUUUUGAAAAUUUUUUUCCAUCACUAAAGGACAGACAAGAUAACUUUCAAUAUCUAACCUAUUUUCAUACUGAAGAUGAAUUGUUUAUUGCGACCAAAAUUUUAAACAUUUUAAAAAUUGAUAACAAGAUACUAUUAUAGAAAUACACUUUGAUUCAAAGCAAUUAGAGUAAUGCACUUGGAACUGCAAUCCAAAUGGAAGUUGAGGUAAUACAGUGCUUAGUCAUUAAAUUAAUUAGGCACGAGGGGGUCACCAAGACCCCCCAAGUUACAACUCCUCAGAUGCUUCCAACUCGUUUUCCACUGUUUAAAGAU
rnacentral:lncRNA from 1 species